rnacentral:rRNA from 1 species
CAGUCGCCGCGGUAAUACGAAGGGGGCUAGCGUUGUUCGGAUUUACUGGGCAUAAAGGGCGCGUAGGCGGAUUUGUAAGUCAGGGGUGAAAUCCCGAGGCUCAACCUCGGAACUGCCUUUGAUACUGUGGAUCUUGAGUCCGGGAGAGGUGAGUGGAACUGCGAGUGUAGAGGUGAAAUUCGUAGAUAUUCGCAAGAACACCAGUGGCGAAGGCGGCUCACUGGCCCGGAACUGACGCUGAGGCGCGAAAGCGUGGGGAGCAAACAGGAUUAGAGACCCCUGUAGUCCCUGUCUCUUAUAC